AGAGUUUGAUCCUGGCUCAGGAUGAACGCUAGCGGCAGGCCUAAUACAUGCAAGGUGAACGGUAAGUGUUGUAGCAAUACAAUGCCUAGAGUACCGCAAGGGUGCGUAACACGUAUGCAAUCUGCCCUGUACAGGAGGAUAGCUCCCCGAAAGGGGAAUUAAUACUCCGUAAGAUCACGAGAGGGCAUCUAAUUGUGAUUAAAACUCCGGUGGUACAGGAUGAGCAUGCGGAUGAUUAGCUAGUUGGUAGUGUAACGGACUACCAAGGCGAUGAUCAAUAGGGGAACUGAGAGGUUUAUCCCCCACACUGGCACUGAGAUACGGGCCAGACUCCUACGGGAGGCAGCAGUAGGGAAUAUUGGACAAUGGUUGCAAGACUGAUCCAGCCAUGCCGCGUGCAGGAAGAAGGCCUUCUGGGUCGUAAACUGCUUUUCUCUGGGGAUAAAAAGACCCUGCGGGGUAAAUUGAAGGUACCAGAGGAAUAAGCCACGGCUAACUACGUGCCAGCAGCCGCGGUAAUACGUAGGUGGCAAGCGUUGUCCGGAUUUAUUGGGUUUAAAGGGUGCGUAGGCGGUUCCAUAAGUCAGUGGUGAAAUACGGCAGCUCAACUGUCGAGGUGCCAUUGAUACUGCGGAACUUGAGUACUGAUGAGGUAGGCGGAAUUGACGGUGUAGCGGUGAAAUGCUUAGAUAUCGUCAAGAACACCGAUAGCGAAGGCAGCUUACCAAGCAGUAACUGACGCUCAGGCACGAAAGUGCGGGGAUCAAACAGGAUUAGAUACCCUAGUAGUCC
rnacentral:rRNA from 1 species